rnacentral:rRNA from 1 species
CUACGGGAUGCAGCAGUGAGGAAUUUUGCGCAAUGGGGGAAACCCUGACGCAGCAACGCCGCGUGAGCGAAGAAGGCCCUCGGGUCGUAAAGCUCUGUCAAGUGGGAAAAAAAUUUUUUGAUCAAUAGUCAAAAGACUUGAUGGUACCACUGGAGGAAGCACCGGCUAACUCCGUGCCAGCAGCCGCGGUAAUACGGAGGGUGCGAGCGUUGUUCGGAUUUACUGGGCGUAAAGAGCGUGUAGGCGGUUUAGCAAGUCAGAUGUGAAAGCCCUGGGCUCAACCCGGGAAGUGCAUUUGAAACUGCUUCACUAGAGUAUGGGAGAGGAGAUUGGAAUUCCUGGUGUAGAGGUGAUAUUCGUAGAUAUCAGGAGGAACACCCGUGGCGAAGGCGAUUCUCUGGACCAAUACUGACGCUGAGACGCGAAAGCGUGGGGAGCAAACAGGAUUAGAUACCCCCGUAGUC